rnacentral:lncRNA from 1 species
ACUGAUGACCUUACAGCAACGAGUGUUACUAAAACUGAUAUUUUAUUCUCAGGAUUCCGUUCUUCACUCAGAGUGACUGCUAGUUCCAGAGGUGAAAGGGGAAUCCACGUGAUGCAUCGAGAAAGUCUUAUGACAGAAAAAUUUAACGUAAUCAAAGAUUAUUAAGAAUGGAGCAUAAAGGAUAAAGAAGUCCUUCAGACUAAAAUAACACCAAGUUGCCAGCAUGUACAUGUUCUUUAAGCCAUCAUUCAACAGUCACCUGUGUCUGCACCAUCCCACAAUCACAGCCAGGGAAGGCCAGGGUUCUCUCACAAUCUCACUGAUUCCUGAGCUCCAAUGGACAAAGUGUGAGGACUGCCACACUGCGAUUCAACGCUGGUUACACUGGGUUAUUUAAGAUACAAAGUGUGACCUUGCAUGUAUGGGCAGCAAAAGGAGCUAGCUAAUCCAAAAUGCUUUACACUCAUGGAAAUGAAGCAGUGCAUUAUAAUUGUUGAGGAAAAUUGGGAUUUGCAUAGUCUUCUAUCCGAGGAAAAUCAGGAUUUGCAUAGUCUUCACAUGCAUCCCAGGAGUUUUCUUUUCAACACAGAGAACUGUGCUGCACUCCAGUUGGAGAGACAGCACAGGCUUUGCCUUUGUCAAGUAUUGUAAAGUCAGUCUCAGCAAGAGUCCGAACAUCAACCUUGUGAUCCUGGGAUAUGGCGCACCCUGCAGAGAGCAAAGCAGUCCACAGGACUCCUGGCAAAGCUGUAUGGCAUCUGUCCAGUGGAAAAGUACACUGGACGACCCAAACUGAAGGACAUUCUACAAAUCAAAUGGCCAAGUCUUCCCUAAGUAUAGGCCAAGGAAUGAUACAAAAGAGGGGACCAAGCUGCUUCAAUAAAAUCUUUAUUUAAUAACUAUUAUUACA